CUGUUGGGGGAAGAGUGGGGAGCUCGGUCUGGCAGAGCCGGAUAGGGCUGGAUGGGUUUGGGAUCCAAGUGAAUUGAAUCUCCAGGCAGAGUGUGGGCACCGGCCCCAGCCACCCAUUCCUAGCAUCCUUUGGAUGUAGGUGUCAUCGGUAGAGACUCGGGGGUCAUUAAUUUAUGGCUCCUGGGCAUUCACUGGUGAUUUGAGAAGCUCAAUAGGAACUUCUCAGUAUUUCUAGAACAGGACAAGUUUUGCUAUUUUAACAUCUGGGAGACCUGUGGGGCAGGAGAGAGAGAAGGGAUAUUAUUAGAAUGUGUGAAUCUUGGCCGGGCUCCCUCGGGCCCUGGAGUGGGCAGGUGGCCAGAGGACAGAAGUGAUAUUUCACACAGAUGGUGGCCUCUCCAGGCCUCUGCAAACCAGCAGGACGGAUCGGCGGUGAGGUCUCCCAGAUGUUCAAAUAGCUUGUGUCCUGCACACUGACUGAGAGUGUGUCCUUGACAAGUCCCUUCACCUCCCUGAGCUCCAGGCUUGUCACCCGUAAAAGGUGGUGACAGGAAGAGAAGUGCACAUGUGGGAAGCUCCCGAAAGGUGCCAUGUGCUCUACCCCAUGUGUGCCCACUCUCCUCUGGCCUCCCCCAGCCCCUUGUCCUUCUCUGCCUGCUCUGUGCCCUGGAGGCUGUGUCUGGUGAAGGUGGAGGGACUCAGGACACAGCCCAGACAUUCUUGGGAAAAUCACCGCAGGGCUCAGACGGCCAAUGUGGGACCUCGUGGUCCAGGUUUGAGGAGCUCUGGGAGUCCUACGACUGAGGUCUCUGCCCAGUUUGGUCUCAGGGACUCAUCCUAACAGUUUAUAUGCCUGCCUUCUGCUUCCCGACUGCUGCAGAGGAAAGAACAGGGGCUUUGGAACCAGAGACCUGCGAUUAAAUCUGGAAUCAUGUCACCCCAGUGAGCCUUGGUGUCUUUACCUGUGAAAUUACCACCCUCCAUUCCUCAUGGGCAAAUGCAGGUGUGGGAAGUAACCAGAUUGUUUUAAAUACUCAAUAAAUGACGGUUGUAUUAGUAA
rnacentral:lncRNA from 1 species